rnacentral:rRNA from 1 species
UACGUAGGUGACAAGCGUUGUCCGGAUUUACUGGGCGUAAAGAGCGCGCAGGCGGUCAUUCAAGUCGAGUGUGAAAGCCCCCGGCUCAACUGGGGAGGGUCACUCGAUACUGAUCGACUCGAAGGCAGGAGAGGGUAGUGGAAUUCCCGGUGUAGUGGUGAAAUGCGUAGAUAUCGGGAGGAACACCAGUGGCGAAGGCGACUACCUGGCCUGUUCUUGACGCUGAGGCGCGAAAGCUAGGGGAGCAAACGGG